AUCCAGCUGACGAGUCUCAAAAAGGACGAAACGCGCUUCGAACUGGAU
rfam:Schistosoma haematobium scaffold493_10, whole genome shotgun sequence.